rnacentral:rRNA from 1 species
GAUGAACGCUAGCGGCAGGCUUAACACAUGCAAGUCGAGGGGCAGCAAGGAUUGUGCUUGCACAAUCUGUUGGCGACCGGCGCACGGGUGCGUAACGCGUAUGCAACCUACCUUUAACAGGGGGAUAACACUGAGAAAUUGGUACUAAUACCCCAUAACACUUUGAAAGGCAUCUUUCGGAGUUGAAAGUUCCGGCGGUUUGAGAUGGACAUGCGUUGUAUUAGCUAGUUGGUGAGGUAACGGCUCACCAAGGCGACGAUACAUAGGGGGACUGAGAGGUUAACCCCCCACAUUGGUACUGAGACACGGACCAAACUCCUACGGGAGGCAGCAGUGAGGAAUAUUGGUCAAUGGACGAGAGUCUGAACCAGCCAAGUAGCGUGCAGGACGACGGCCCUCUGGGUUGUAAACUGCUUUUAGUUGGGAAUAAAAAGAGGGACGUGUCCCUUAUUGUAUGUACCAUCAGAAAAAGGACCGGCUAAUUCCGUG